rnacentral:rRNA from 1 species
GAGGGAAAGGUGAAAAGAACCCCGGGAGGGGAGUGAAAUAGAACCUGAAACCCUGCACUUACAAGCUGUGGGAGCACAUUACUUGUGUGACCGCGUACUUUUUGUAGAACGGGCCAACGAGUUACGUUAAGUAGCAAGGUUAAGCACUUAAGGUGUGGAGCCGUAGCGAAAGCGAGUCUUAAAUGGGCGAUUAAGUUACUUGGCGUAGACCCGAAACCGGGCGACCUAUCCAUGAGCAGGUUGAAGCGAAAGUAAAAUUUCGUGGAGGACCGAACCCACGAGCGUUGAAAAGCUCGGGGAUGACUUGUGGAUAGCGGUGAAAUUCCAAUCGAGCCCGGAGAUAGCUGGUUCUCCCCGAAAUAGCUUUAGGGCUAGCCUCAAGCGUAGAGAAACGGAGGUAGAGCACUGAAUGUCCUAGGGGGUAUUGCACUUACCGAAGACUAUCAAACUCCGAAUGCCGUUUUCUUUUACUUGGGAGUCAGACUGUGGGUGAUAAGAUUCAUAGUCAAAAGGGCAACAGCCCAGAUCGUCAGCUAAGGUCCCUAAAUGUACGUUAAGUGGUAAAGGAUGUGGGAUUGCACAGACAACCAGGAUGUUGGCUUAGAAGCAGCCACUCAUUUAAAGAGUGCGUAAUAGCUCACUGGUCGAGUGAUCCUGCGCCGAAAAUUUCCGGGGCUAAAACGUACUACCGAAGCUACGGCAUCAUUUAUGAUGGGUAGGGGAGCUUCGUAUGCAGGCUGAAGCAUGACCGUAAGGACAUGUGGACAGUAUACGAGUGAGAAUGUUGGCAUGAGUAGCGAGACGUGGGUGAGAAUCCCACGGGCCGUAAACCCAAGGUUUCCAGGGGAAGGUUCGUCCGCCCUGGGUUAGUCGGGACCUAAGCCGAGGCCGAAAGGCGUAGGUGAUGGACAACAGGUUGAUAUUCCUGUACCGCCAAUAAGCGUUUGAGAGAUGGAGUGACACAGUAGGAUAAGCUAACCGUACUGUUGGUUAUGUACGGCUAAGCAUUGAGGCAGUCUAAAUAGGCAAAUCCGUUUAGACAAUGCUAGGAUGUGAUGGGGAAGCCCUUCGGGGCGAAGUAGCUGAUUUCACACUGUCAAGAAAAGCUUCUAUCGAGUUUAAAGGCGCCCGUACCGUAAACCGACACAGGUGGGUGAGGAGAGUAUCCUAAGGCCAGCGAGAGAACUAUUGUUAAGGAACUCGGCAAAAUGACCCCGUAACUUAGGGAGAAGGGGUGCCUGUCUAUGACAGGCCGCAGAGAAUAGGCCCAAGCGACUGUUUACCAAAAACACAGGUUUCUGCUAAGUCGCAAGACGAUGUAUAGGAGCUGACGCCUGCCCGGUGCUGGAAGGUUAAGGGGAUCUGUUAGAGCAAUCGAAGCAGUGAACUUAAGCCCCAGUAAACGGCGGCCGUAACUAUAACGGUCCUAAGGUAGCGAAAUUCCUUGUCGGGUAAGUUCCGACCCGCACGAAAGGCGUAACGAUUUGGGCACUGUCUCAACAAUAGACUCGGUGAAAUUGUAAUCCCGGUGAAGAUGCCGGGUACCUGCGACAGGACGGAAAGACCCCAUGGAGCUUUACUGUAGCUUGACGUUGGGUCUUGGUACUACAUGUACAGGAUAGGUGGGAGACUAUGAAGCAUGGACGCCAGUCUGUGUGGAGUCAUCCUUGGGAUACCACCCUUGUAGUACUGGGAUCCUAACCAUAGGCCUUGAAUCAGGUCUUGGAACACCGUCAGGUGGGCAGUUUGACUGGGGCGGUCGCCUCCUAAAAAGUAACGGAGGCGCUCAAAGGUUUCCUCAGCACGGUCGGAAAUCGUGCGAAGAGUGUAAAGGCAAAAGGAAGCUUGAUUGCAAGACAUACAGGUCGAGCAAGGACGAAAGUCGGACUUAGUGAUCCGGUGGUACCGCAUGGAAGGGCCAUCGCUCAACGGAUAAAAGCUACCCUGGGGAUAACAGGCUUAUCUCCCCCAAGAGUCCACAUCGACGGGGAGGUUUGGCACCUCGAUGUCGGCUCAUCACAUCCUGGGGCUGUAGUAGGUCCCAAGGGUUGGGCUGUUCGCCCAUUAAAGUGGUACGCGAGCUGGGUUCAGAACGUCGUGAGACAGUUCGGUCCUUAUCUGUCGCAGGCGAAGGAUAUUUGAAGGGAGUUGACCUUAGUACGAGAGGACCAGGUUGAAGGAACCGAUGGUGCACCAGUUGUACUACCAAGUGCAUAGCUGGAUAGCUAAGUUCCGAAGGGAUAAACGCUGAAAGCAUCUAAGUGUGAAGCCCACCCUAAGAUAAGAUAUCCCAUAUCGAAAGAUAGU